rnacentral:rRNA from 1 species
UACGUAGGUGGCAAGCGUUGUCCGGAAUUAUUGGGCGUAAAGCGCGCGCAGGUGGUUUCUUAAGUCUGAUGUGAAAGCCCACGGCUCAACCGUGGAGGGUCAUUGGAAACUGGGGAACUUGAGUACAGAAGAGGAAAGUGGAAUUCCAAGUGUAGCGGUGAAAUGCGUAGAGAUUGGAGGAACACCAGUGGCGAAGGCGACUUUCUGGUCUGUAACUGACACUGAGGCGCGAAAGCGUGGGGAGCGAACAGG